AGCGAACGCUGGCGGCAUGCUUAACACAUGCAAGUCGCACGAACCUUUCGGGGUUAGUGGCGGACGGGUGAGUAACGCGUAGGGAUCUGUCCAUGGGUGGGGGAUAACUUUGGGAAACUGAAGCUAAUACCGCAUGACACCUGAGGGUCAAAGGCGCAAGUCGCCUGUGGAGGAACCUGCGUUCGAUUAGCUAGUUGGUGGGGUAAAGGCCUACCAAGGCGAUGAUCGAUAGCUGGUCUGAGAGGAUGAUCAGCCACACUGGGACUGAGACACGGCCCAG
rnacentral:rRNA from 1 species